rnacentral:sRNA from 1 species
GGAAAUAAGGUUACAGAGUGCCACAUGUGUGGGCGAGACAAGGUCUCCAUAGGGUGGGAACCAGGCAGAACUCAGACAUGGCUCAUUCUUUUAGUUUCUGCUCCAUUUUCUUAGUGGUCAAAAUGAGAAACAAAGGAUAAAUGCCCAGCACUAGCAAAAAAGAGGGAACUGUGAUAUUUAGAGAUGGGGAGGAGGGAAAGGUUACCGACUAGCAUCGAAAUGAAUUUCCCAUUCUCCUUUACUAUUGUCGUCUUUCACAAACUCCCAGUGUGUCUAGAGAUAAAACCCCAACAUUUACUGUAGGGGUGCGUUUUUCCAAGGAGAUCCAAGGAUGUGAACUCUGUCUAUGGAAAGUGAAUGUCCAAAGGUAUGCAGGAAACAUUGACUAUAGCAAAGGCUUGCAAAGGGGCAACAACAUGGUGGGUGCAAGUGAAACAGAAAAAAAUGAGCCCAUCUUGGAGAAACUUUCUUGCCCUCUGUCUGGUGAUUUCUGUAGGCUUUUGCCUGGAUUCAUCCUGAUGGUAAUAAUUUCAGAUGCCUGUGUCACAGCUUCCACCAUAAUGCGAGAUGGCAGAUGAGAAGGAGCCUUCCAGUUCAGUUCCAGAUAAUUUCUCUAUAUCAUGCAAUGACGUUUUGUGGUGUCUUGAGCAGCAGCUCUUAUCAUUUACUUCUGCUACCAAGAAGAAUGCCAAGAGUCUGGGUUGGGGAUUUAGCUCAGUGGUAGAGCAGUUGCCUAGCAAGUGCAAGGCCCUGGGUUUGGUCCCCAGCUCCGAAAAAAAGAAAAAAAAAUGCCAAGAGUCUACAUUAUUUACAGUCUUCCAGUACUCCUGAUUAACAGUUCAUUAGAGGGGUACCCAUAUUGGACGCUAGAGUUUUAGUUUAAUAAACUAUGGUUUCAAGAAGAAAUUUUUCCAGUCAUAUAAAGCAGCUCCCUCCCAACUUAAAACAAAUUUUUUUACAUGAUUGGUGCUUGCCAUGGGGUUUCUCCAUGUCAUCAUCAUGUUGGUUAACCCUCCCAGAAUCUUUUCACCUUUCUCUCCUAUUUCCCCUACUUAAACUUCCUCCUACAGUGUCCAUUCUUUCUAUGUUCAAAUUACCUGAGAUCUCUUCACCCUCCUAAUGGCUGGUUCCUAGAUUUAUAAACUCCAUAGAGACUCUAAGCUGAACACACAAUAUUAAAAGCCACAUAAGAAGGACGACAUUUGAUACAAGUUUUUUUUUUUUUGUGCCUGCAAAACCUCACUCCAUACAAUGUUUUCAAGUUACAUUCAUUUUCCUAUAAACUUUAUGUUUCUUUAGAGCUCAAUAAAUUCCAUUGUUGAAUAACAUUCAUGCUGAGACUAUUUCUUAAUUAUUGUGGAUAUAGUACAAAUAAACAUGAAUAGGCAAAUGUCUUUGAGUGAGAUAGAGUGAUUCCCAGGAAGUGGAAUAGCUUGAACAUACAAAAUUCUAGUUUGACCUUUUGGGGAAGCUUCACACUGAUUUCCAUAAUAACUAUACCAUUUUUCACUCCAUCAGCAGAAACUAGGGGUUCACCUACCCCCACGUUCAUGUUCGCAUUUUUGUCAUUUGAGCUCUUGGCAGUGUGGACUUUAAAAAUACUUUUAUUGUCCAUUUAUAUUUCUUCGUUUUAGAACUAUUCAUAUCAGUAGCCCUUUUUGUAUUAAUUUUCUGUUUUAUUUUUAUGUUUGAGGGUGUUUU